GGAGAGGAGAGAGAGAGAGAGAGAGAGAGAGAAAGAGAGAGAGAGAGAGAGAAGAGAGAGAGAGAAGAGAGAGAGAGAGAGAGAGAGAGAGAGAAGAGAGAAGAGAGAAGAGAGAAGAGAGAAGAGAGAAGAGAGAAGAGCGAAGAAGAAGAAGAAGAAGAAGAAGAAGAAGAAGAUGAUGAAGAAGAAGAGGAAGAAGAAGAAGAAGAAGAGAAGAGGGAG
rnacentral:lncRNA from 1 species